rnacentral:rRNA from 1 species
GACGAACGCUGGCGGCGUGCCUAAUACAUGCAAGUCGAGCGAAGUUUUUCUGGUGCUUGCACUAGAAACACUUAGCGGCGAACGGGUGAGUAACACGUAAAGAACCUGCCUCAUAGACUGGGACAACUAUUGGAAACGAUAACUAAUACCGGAUAACAGUAUUUCUCUCAUGGGAGAUUUUUAAAAGUUGGUUAUGCUAACACUCUGAGAUGCCUUUGCGGUGCAUUAGCUAGUUGGUGGGGUAAAGCCCCACCAAGGCGACGAUGCAUAGCCGACCUGAGAGGGUGAUCGGCCACACGGGAACUGAAACACGGCCCAGACGCCUACGGGAGGCAGCAGUAGGGAAUCUUCCGCAAUGGGCGAAAGCCUGACGGAGCAACGCCGCGUGAGUGAAGAAGGAUUUCGGUUCGUAAAGCUCUGUUGUUAGGGAAGAAUGGAUAUGUAGUAACUAUACAUGUAAGAGACGGUACCUAUACAGAAAGCCACGGCUAACUACGUG